rnacentral:siRNA from 1 species
UCAACCUCCUAAACGGCUAAGGUA